GAGCACAACCACACAGGAAGACUACACUGAACACCCAUCACGACUAUAUAGUAGAUUAGUCAAAUAUCAAGUCCUGAAAACUGAACGUUCAAAUCAUGUUCCGGAGGUUCACUGCUCAUUUUCGUCUCGUCUUCGUCUUCGUGAUCUGUUCAGUUAUUGGUAUGGCAACAGGAGGUCGUCACCUUUGUUUCAAGGAGCCAUUCAAUUGCCAUAGAAACCCCCAUACCCCUUGCUGUCACCCCCCUGCCCCCACCCCUGAGCUUGUCACAGAACCGCCUCCUCUCCCUCUCGACUUCCCGAAAGCUACAUUUUCAAUUUAAUCGCAUUCCGAAAAUGUUUACCUACCAUGGCAAAACUCACACAUGUCACUACAUUAAUAAAAACAAAGAGUAGCAGAUAAAACAAUCAUGAAAAGAGAAUCCACAUGUUUGUACUGCAUAACAGGAAUAUUAUGAGAAGAGGAAUAAAGAGUUACCCAUACAUUUUUAUUUUUUUUUUAUUUUGAAAUUAGACAAUAAAGUAUUGUUUUCACUCGG